rnacentral:rRNA from 1 species
AGCGAACGCUGGCGGUAGGCCUAACACAUGCAAGUCGAACGGCAGCACAGUAAGAGCUUGCUCUUAUGGGUGGCGAGUGGCGGACGGGUGAGGAGUAUAACGGAAUCUACUUUUUCGUGGGGGAUAACGUAGGUAAACUUACGCUAAUACCGCAUACGACCUACGGUUGAAAGCAGGGGAUCUUCGGACCUGGCGCGAUUGAAUGAGCCGAUGUCGGUGUAGCUAGUUGGCGGGGUAAAUGCCCACCAAGGCGACGAUCCGCAGCUGGUCUGAGAGGCUGGUGGGCCACCCUAGAGCUGAGACACGGACCAGGGUCCUGAGGGACGGCGCAGUGGGGAAUGUUGGACAAUGGUCGCAAGCCUGAUCCAGUGAUCGCAAGUCGGAGACAGCAACGCUCCGGUUGUAAAGACCUUUUGUUGGGAAAGAACAGCAUCCGGUUAAUACGCCGCUGUUCUGACGGUACCCAAUGAAUAAGCACCGGCUAACUUCGUG